rnacentral:rRNA from 1 species
UGCGUAGGCGGAAUGAUAAGUUAGUGGUGAAAGCCCCCGGCUCAACCGGGGAACUGCCAUUAAUACUGUCAUUCCUGAGUAUAGUUGAAGUGGGCGGAAUGUAUCAUGUAGCGGUGAAAUGCUUAGAUAUGAUACAGAACACCAAUAGCGUAGGCAGCUUGCUAAACUAUAACUGACGCUCAGGCACGAAAGCGUGGGGAGCAAACAGGAUUAGAUACCCUGGUAGUCC